rnacentral:sRNA from 1 species
GGACUCUCUGCUAAAAUUGUAGAAAGGGGCUCAUGGGAUGGUGCCCUGGAGAGACAAGAGCCUUUCUGGAAUGGGCUCUGGUUCUAGUUCCU